GAAAUAAUGUCUGUUUCAUAUAAAUUUAAAUUCGAAAUUUAUAUUUUAGUUAAAAAGCUAAAAUUUAAUUAAAAGACGAGAAGACCCCAUAAAUCUUUAUAUUAAGUUAAUAUUUAUUAUUUAGUAAAUUAAAUUAAUUAUUAGCAAUAGUAUUUUAUUGGGGUGAUAUUAAAAUUUAAUAAACUUUUAAUUUAUUAUUACAUUAAUUUAUGAUUAGUUGAUCCAUUAUUAUUGAUUAGUAGAAUAAGUUACUUUAGGGAUAACAGCGUAAUUUUUUUGAAGAGUUCAUAUCGAUAAAAAAGAUUGCGACCUCGAUGUUGGAUUAAGAAAUAUAUUUAGGUGUAGAAG
rnacentral:rRNA from 1 species